AGGGUUUGAUCCUGGCUCAGGACGAACGCUGGCGGCACGCUUAACUCAUGCAAGUCGAACGAGAGAAGAGGAGCUUGCUUUUCUGAUCUAGUGGCGGACGGGUGAGUAACACGUGAGCAAUCUGCCUUUCAGAGGGGGAUACCGAUUGGAAACGAUCGUUAAUACCGCAUAACAUAAUUGAACCGCAUGAUUUGAUUAUCAAAGAUUUAUCGCUGAAAGAUGAGCUCGCGUCUGAUUAGCUAGUUGGUAAGGUAACGGCUUACCAAGGCGACGAUCAGUAGCCGGACUGAGAGGUUGAUCGGCCACAUUGGGACUGAGACACGGCCCAGACUCCUACGGGAGGCAGCAGUGGGGAAUAUUGCACAAUGGAGGAAACUCUGAUGCAGCGAUGCCGCGUGAGGGAAGAAGGUUUUAGGAUUGUAAACCUCUGUCUUCAGGGACGAAAAAAGACGGUACCUGAGGAGGAAGCUCCGGCUAACUACGUGCCAGCAGCCGCGGUAAUACGUAGGGAGCGAGCGUUGUCCGGAAUUACUGGGUGUAAAGGGAGCGUAGGCGGGAUCGCAAGUCAGAUGUGAAAACUAUGGGCUUAACCCAUAAACUGCAUUUGAAACUGUGGUUCUUGAGUGAAGUAGAGGUAAGCGGAAUUCCUAGUGUAACGGUGAAAUGCGUAGAUAUUAGGAGGAACAUCAGUGGCGAAGGCGGCUUACUGGGCUUUAACUGACGCUGAGGCUCGAAAGCGUGGGGAGCAAACAGGACUAGAUACCCUGGUAGUCCACGCCGUAAACGAUGAUUACUAGGUGUGGGGGGACUGACCCCUUCCGUGCCGCAGCAAACGCAAUAAGUAAUCCACCUGGGGAGUACGACCGCAAGGUUGAAACUCAAAGGAAUUGACGGGGGCCCGCACAAGCAGUGGAGUAUGUGGAUUAAUUCGAAGCAACGCGAAGAACCUUACCAGGUCUUGACAUCGUAUGCAUAGCUCAGAGAUGAGUGAAAUCUCUUCGGAGACAUAUAGACAGGUGGUGCAUGGUUGUCGUCAGCUCGUGUCGUGAGAUGUUGGGUUAAGUCCCGCAACGAGCGCAACCCUUACUGUUAGUUGCUACGCAAGAGCACUCUAGCAGGACUGCCGUUGACAAAACGGAGGAAGGUGGGGAUGACGUCAAAUCAUCAUGCCCCUUAUGACCUGGGCCUCACACGCACUACAAUGGCUGUCAACAGAGGGAAGCAAAGCCGCGAGGUGGAGCGAACCCCUAAAAGCAGUCUUAGUUCGGAUUGUAGGCUGCAACCCGCCUACAUGAAGUCGGAAUUGCUAGUAAUCGCAGAUCAGCAUGCUGCGGUGAAUACGUUCCCGGGCCUUGUACACACCGCCCGUCACGCCAUGGGAGUCGGUAACACCCGAAGCCUGUAGUCUAACCGCAAGGAGGACGCAGUCGAAGGUGGGAUUGAUGACUGGGGUGCAGUCGUAACAAGGUA
rnacentral:rRNA from 1 species